rnacentral:rRNA from 1 species
GAUGAACGCUAGCGAUAGGCUUAACACAUGCCAGUCGAGGGGCAGCAUGGUCUUAGCUUGCUAAGACUGAUGGCGACCGGCGCACGGGUGCGUAACGCGUAUGCAACUUGCCUCACAGAGGGGGAUAACCCGUCGAAAGACGGACUAAUACCGCGUACACUCCAUCUUGGGCAUCCAAGGUAGAGGAAAUGAAAUUCGCUGUGAGAUAGGCAUGCGUCCCAUUAGCUAGUUGGUGAGGUAACGGCUCACCAAGGCGACGAUGGGUAGGGGAACUGAGAGGUUGAACCCCCACACUGGUACUGAGACACGGACCAGACUCCUACGGGAGGCAGCAGUGAGGAAUAGUGGUCAAUGGGCGAGAGCCUGAACCAGCCAAGUCGCGUGAAGGAUGACUGUCUUAUGGAUUGUAAACUUCUUUUAUACGGGAAUAACAAGAGUCACGUGUGACUCCCUGCAUGUACCGUAUGAAUAAGCAUCGGCUAACUCCGUG